AAAGUCGUAACAAGGUUUCCGUAGGUGAACCUGCGGAAGGAUCAUUAUUGAGAGAGUGGCUCCUAUGGGGGGCCCAAACACCCCUUUAUCAUCCGCGGCGGCGACAAGGCUGCCGAGAGGAUUAUAUUUUUUCUGCGUGUUGCAUGUGUCUGAGUGGAGAUAUUAGCUUCAUCAAAACUAUGAACAACGGAUCUCUAGGCUCUU
rnacentral:misc_RNA from 1 species